GAUGAACGCUGGCGGCGUGCCUAAUACAUGCAAGUCGAGCGAACAGACGAUGAGCUUGCUCCUCUGACGGUAGCGGCGGACGGGUGAGUAACACGUGGAUAACCUACCUAUAAGACUGGGAUAACUUCGGGAAACCGGAGCUAAUACCGGAUAAUAUAUUGAACCGCAUGGUUCAAUAGUGAAAGACGGUUUUGCUGUCACUGAUAGAUGGAUCCGCGCCGCAUUAGCUAGUUGGUAAGGUAACGGCUUACCAAGGCAACGAUGCGUAGCCGACCUGAGAGGGUGAUCGGCCACACUGGAACUGAGACACGGUCCAGACUCCUACGGGAGGCAGCAGUAGGGAAUCUUCCGCAAUGGGCGAAAGCCUGACGGAGCAACGCCGCGUGAGUGAUGAAGGUCUUCGGAUCGUAAAACUCUGUUAUUAGGGAAGAACAAAUGUGUAAGUAACUAUGCACGUCUUGACGGUACCUAAUCAGAAAGCCCCGGCUAACUACGUG
rnacentral:rRNA from 1 species